rnacentral:rRNA from 1 species
UACGUAGGGUGCAAGCGUUAAUCGGAAUUACUGGGCGUAAAGCGUGUGUAGGCGGUUCGGAAAGAAAGAUGUGAAAUCCCAGGGCUCAACCUUGGAACUGCAUUUUUAACUGCCGAGCUAGAGUAUGUCAGAGGGGGGUAGAAUUCCACGUGUAGCAGUGAAAUGCGUAGAUAUGUGGAGGAAUACCGAUGGCGAAGGCAGCCCCCUGGGAUAAUACUGACGCUCAGACACGAAAGCGUGGGGAGCAAACAGGAUUAGAUACCCUGGUAGUCCACGCCCUAAACGAUGUCAACUAGCUGUUGGGGCCGUUAGGCCUUAGUAGCGCAGCUAACGCGUGAAGUUGACCGCCUGGGGAGUACGGUCGCAAGAUUAAA